rnacentral:pre_miRNA from 1 species
GUUUUAAGAUAAGUAUGUUCCACUCAAUAUUUGGGACAUACUUACCUUAAAA